rnacentral:lncRNA from 1 species
UGUCUGUUAGCUACCCAUAAGAAUGCUGUUUGCUGCAGUUCUGUGUCCUGUGCUUGGAUGCUUUUUAUAAGAGUUGUCAUUGUUGGAAAUUCUUAAAUAAAACUGAUUUAAAUAAUAUGUGUCUUUGUUUUGCAGCCCUGAAUGCAAAGAAUUCAUAGCAGUUAAUUCCCCUUUUUUGACCCUUUUGAGAUGGAACUUUCAUAAAGUUUCUUGGCAGUAGUUUAUUUUGCUUCAAAUAAACUUAUUUGAAAAGUUGUCUCAAGUCAAAUGGAUUCAUCACCUGUCAUGCAUUGACACCUGAUACCCAGACUUAAUUGGUAUUUGUUCUUGCAUUGGCCAAAGUGAAAAUUUUUUUUUUUCUUUUGAAAUCUAGUUUUGAAUAAGUCUGGGUGACCGCACCUAAAAUGCACUUGCACUAUUACUCAGCAGCAGUAACAUGGUAACACUUAAAAUGGUACUCGGGGACCUCCAAAGACUAAACUGACAAGCCUUCAAGGAGCCCAGGGGUAAGUUAACUUGUCAACGGCAUGGUUUAAUCCCUUCUUUACACUUGUGUAAAUUUCAGUUACUGGUCAUAGAAGGCUUUCAAUGUUGAGUGGCCUUUUAUUAACAUGUUUAUGGUACUGCAUAGAUACGGGUAUUUAUUUUACCCUAAGAAGAUUUUGAAGUUUAAAAGUACUUAAACUAUUUGGCAAAGAUUUGUUUUUAAAAAUCUAUUUGGUCAAUCUAAAUGCAUUCAUUCUAAAAAAUUUUUUGAACCAGAUAAAUAAAAUUUUUUUUUGACACCACA